rnacentral:lncRNA from 10 species
GCUUUCAUGUAAAAGCACCUACACCCAGGCCCCCCCCACCCACGAACAGCUUCGUGGACAGUUUACUCAGACUGAGUCGAAGGUAAUUUUAAGGUAGUUUCGGGAUAUUACCCAAGUAUGGCCCAGCUGGAAGGUGGACAUCGGGGGGAGGGCUCAGAAACACCAAAGUCCAACCUUCUCCACCUCACAGAUGGAGAAACUGAGCCCGAGAGAGAGAAGAGGAGUCAGCUGAGCCUCCCCCAGAUAAGACAAUCGCCAAAUAUUCUGGGACCUUGCUGGGGGCAGACAGCCCUCCCUGCCCAGCAAUGGGCCUUUGGGAUGUGGCACAAGCUCCCGGGAAACCAGGAGUGACAAGGGCGCCUGUCCCUGAGGAGUGGAGAGCGCGGAGUUGGUGCUGAGUCAGCCCUGAUGUGGCAGAGGAGGAGCAGGCCCCCGCAGAACCAGGGAAACGUCAUCUCCACCGCUCAACCAGCCCAACCCUGGAGUGCUGUGGAAGCCGCUCUCAGAUCCCUUGGCAGCCCCCCAGGUGCAGGUCGUGGCUGCCCCUGCCCCGCUCAGUCCCUGCACAGCCACCAGCUGGCUGCCUGGGACCCCUUGAAGCCAAGCCUGAGGAGCUACCCACCACACCUGCUUCAGCACCCUCAGCUCCGCUCCCUCACAGCCAGCUCAGGCCACCUGGGGAGGCGCUCUUGCCCCCAGCCCCGCCCUCUGGAAGAGCU